rnacentral:rRNA from 1 species
AGUGAACGCUGGCGGUAGGCCUAACACAUGCAAGUCGAACGGCAGCACAGGAGAGCUUGCUCUCUGGGUGGCGAGUGGCGGACGGGUGAGGAAUACAUCGGAAUCUACUUUUUCGUGGGGGAUAACGCAGGGAAACUUACGCUAAUACCGCAUACGACCUACGGGUGAAAGCAGGGGACCUUCGGGCCUUGCGCGAUUGAAUGAGCCGAUGUCGGAUUAGCUAGUUGGCGGGGUAAAGGCCCACCAAGGCGACUAUCCGUAGCUGGUCUGAGAGGAUGAUCAGCCACACUGGAACUGAGACACGGUCCAGACUCCUACGGGAGGCAGCAGUGGGGAAUAUUGGACAAUGGGCGCAAGCCUGAUCCAGCCAUACCGCGUGGGUGAAGAAGACCUUCGGGUUGUAAAGCCCUUUUGUUGGGAAAGAAAUCCAGCUGGCCAAUACCCGGUUGGGAUGACGGUACCCAAAGAAUAAGCACCGGCUAACUUCGUGCCAGCCGCCGCGGUAA